rnacentral:rRNA from 1 species
UACGGGGGGGGCAAGCGUUGUUCGGAAUUACUGGGCGUAAAGGGCGCGUAGGCGGCCUUCUAAGUCAGACGUGAAAUCCCCCGGCUUAACCUGGGAACUGCGUCUGAUACUGGGAGGCUAGAGUAUGGGAGAGGGAUGUAGAAUUCCAGGUGUAGCGGUGAAAUGCGUAGAUAUCGUAAGGAAGACCAGUGGCGAAGGCGGGUCUCUGGACAGUUCCUGACGCUGAGGCACGAAGGCCAGGGGAGCAAACGGG